rnacentral:snRNA from 1 species
GUGUCCACUUUUGGCAGCACAUAUAACUAAAAUCGGAACAAUGCAGAGGUUAGCAUGGUCUCUCCGCAAGAAUGAUAUACAAAUUCGUGAAGUGUUUCAUAUGUUU